UGUUUGUUCACUGUUGGUCACUUAAUGUAAGUGGGAAAAACUGAUUGGAUAAAGAUAUUAAACAGUCUUUAUAGUACAGGUGAAAUAGGAGACUCAUCUGAUUGUGGAGUUACAUGCAUACAGAUGCUGUUUUGAAUCAUAAGAAAUGACUGAUAUUAAUUAAUUUCUUCAGUUCCUCAUUAGCUUCUUCACAAGGAAUAAAUUGUGUAAGGAGUUCUAUAUUCCUAUUUAAAGACCUAACUUUUUUUUCCAUUUGAGUGUAUGAAAGCAAAUUAAUUGAAUUCAUUCUGAAUACUGAGCUUAUAUAGUUUUAUGUACUUGUAUAUGUGACUUUAUCUUUAUUUGACUUUUUAUUUAUAAGUUAUCUAAACAUUAAUAAUUUUAUUCUUUGUAUGAGAAGCUAUAAACAAUCGACUAUAUAUAUAUAUUUUUUUCUCGCCUGCGAUGAAAGUCCGGGAAAGUGAGACAUAAGGGUUCCUUUUCUGGCGACGAUGGCUCUGGCAUCAACAAUUGUUAAGUUUUCUGCUUAAGUUAGUAAGUUUGACAGGUAUUACUUGUGAUAGAUCAUUGAUAUUUAAUAUAAAGUUGUAUUACUAUCAGUA